rnacentral:sRNA from 1 species
GGCCGGUUUUGGUAGGCCCGGGCCGCCGCCAGGCCUCCGCCUGAGCCCGCACCCGCCAUGGACAACUACGCAGAUCUUUCGGAUACCGAGCUGACCACCUUGCUGCGCCGGUACAACAUCCCGCACGGGCCUGUAGUAGGAUCAACUCGUAGGCUUUACGAGAAGAAGAUCUUCGAGUACGAGACCCAGAGGCGGCGGCUCUCGCCCCCCAGCUCGUCCGCCGCUUCCUCUUAUAGCUUCUCUGACUUGAAUUCGACUAGAGGGAAUGCAAAUAUGUAUGAUCUUCCCAAGAAAGAGGACGCUUUACUCUACCAGAGCAAGGGUAAGGCAGGGGUUGGGUGGGCACGCUGGCACCUUCACCCGACUGCGUCAGGGACCCCGCUCACAGGGAGGACCUGAGACCUCAGUCCCAACCACUCCAGCAGCCUUAGGAGGGAGAAACUGUUACAGGUCCCGAAAUAGGAUUCAGAUUAGGGCCAUCGGGCCAGGCGGGGCACACCGAUGCCCCCUCUGCUACCGCUGCCCCCCUUCCCAAGGCUACAAUGACGACUACUAUGAAGAGAGCUACUUCACUACCAGGACUUAUGGGGAGCCCGAGUCUGCAAGCCCGUCCAGGGCCGUCCGCCAGUCAGUGACUUCAUUCCCAGAUGCUGACGCUUUCCACCACCAGGUGAGCUGGCUGGCAGGCGUCCUGUUCUUGGGUACAACCUAGGGGAUCGCGGCUGUGUUUGGAUAAAUCCAGGGGGGCACUGGGUACAAAUGGUG